CCUCAACCACUAGCUUGUGUCAGCGCCCUAGAGGGGAAGUCUGUCUUCGAUCAGUGUUUGUUGAAUGAUUGGUUACUGGAGGAAUAUUUACUAAGCCAUAAAUGAACUGAAAAGAUGAAUGAAUCCCUCUUGUGCUCAGGGUUGUGCUCAGUGAGGUGAAGGAUACAAAAGGAUAAGACACAGCGCCUGCCGAAGGUCUAGUGGAAGAUGAAGCUAAACAAUAUACAGCAGCAAAAUGCAGACCCCUGGCACUCACAAGGGAUUAACAAUACAGCACAACUCAUGGGGCCUGUUGAAUCAUAUAAAACAAACCCUCCACAUUCGCAGGUGAAAUCAAACAAUCUGAAAUGACAGAGCAAACUCUCAACCCUCAGGAGGACGGCGAUGUCAGUCUGUGGCCCUGCGAGUGUGUGUGGCUGCUGUGGUGCCCUUCGCCCCCGAUACAAGAGACUGGUUGACAACAUCUUCCCUGAGGACCCAGAGGAUGGCCUCGUGAAAACCAACAUGGAGAAGCUGACCUUCUAUGCCCUCUCAGCUCCAGAGAAGCUAGACCGGAUUGGUGCCUACCUCUCUGAAAGGCUCAUCCGUGAUGUGGGCCGCCAUAGAUAUGGCUAUGUGUGCAUCGCAAUGGAGGCUCUGGACCAGCUGCUUAUGGCCUGCCAUUGUCAGAGCAUCAACCUCUUUGUAGAAAGCUUCCUGAAGAUGGUGGCCAAGCUGUUGGAGUCUGAGAAGCCCAAUCUGCAGAUCCUAGGCACAAAUUCGUUUGUGAAGUUUGCCAACAUAGAAGAGGACACUCCUUCCUAUCAUCGGAGCUAUGAUUUCUUCGUGUCACGAUUCAGUGAAAUGUGUCACUCCAGCCAUGAUGACUUGGAAAUCAAGACCAAGAUCCGUAUGUCAGGCAUCAAAGGCCUGCAAGGGGUGGUGAGGAAGACAGUGAAUGAUGAGUUGCAGGCCAACAUCUGGGACCCACAGCACAUGGACAAGAUUGUCCCUUCGCUGCUAUUCAACCUGCAGCAUGUAGAGGAAGCUGAGAGCAGGUCUCCCUCACCCUUACAGGCCACAGAGAAAGAAAAGGAGAGCCCGGCAGAACUGGCUGAGAGGUGCCUCCGAGAGCUGCUGGGCAGGGCUGCCUAUGGCAACAUCAAAAAUGCCAUCAAGCCUGUACUCAUUCACCUAGAUAACCAUUCUCUCUGGGAACCCAAGGUGUUUGCCAUCCGUUGCUUUAAAAUCAUCAUGUAUUCGGUUCAGCCCCAGCACUCCCACCUCGUGAUCCAGCAGCUCCUGAGUCACUUGGACGCCAACAGCCGCAGCGCAGCCACCGUCCGGGCGGGCAUCGUGGAGGUCCUGUCUGAAGCGGCUGUCAUUGCUGCUACUGGUUCUGUGGGUCCCACAGUGCUAGAGAUGUUCAAUACUUUGCUAAGGCAGCUACGGCUUAGCAUCGACUAUGCCCUGACUGGCAGCUAUGAUGGAGCCAUCAAUGCUGGCACCAAGAUCAUCAAGGAGCAUGAGGAGAGAAUGUUUCAGGAGGCUGUUAUCAAGACCACUGGAUCCUUUGCCAGCACACUGCCCACCUAUCAACGCUCUGAAGUAAUGCUUUUCAUCAUGAGCAAGGUCCCAUUGCCCUCUCUCCAUCACCCUGUGGAGAGUGGAAAGACUGGGGAGAACAGGAACCGGCUGACCCAGAUCAUGCUGCUGAAAUCCCUUCUUCAGGUAUCCACCGGCUUCCAGUGCAGCAACAUGCUGACUGCCCUGCCUAGCUCCUUCCUGGACCGGCUUCUUUCUGCCUCUCUCAUGGAGGAUGCUGAGAUCCGUCUCUUUGUCCUGGAGAUCCUCAUCAGCUUCAUUGAUCGUCAUGGCAACCGCCACAAAUUCUCCACUAUCAGCACCCUCAGUGACAUCUCUGUCCUAAAACUGAAGGUGGACAAGUGCUCACGGCAAGACACUGUGUUCAUGAAGAAGCACUCUCAGCAGCUCUACAGACACAUCUACAUGAGCUGCAAGGAGGAGACUAAUGUUCAGAAACACUACGAAGCUCUCUAUAGCAUGCUGGCACUCAUCAGCAUCGAGCUGGCCAACGAAGAAGUGGUGGUGGACCUCAUUCGCCUCGUGCUGGCUGUCCAGGAAAUGGCCCAUAUCAAUGAAGAAAAUCUGCCUGCAUACAACCGCUGUGCCCUCUAUGCUCUGGGAGCUGCCUACUUGAACCUCAUCAGUCAGCUUACUGCUGUGCCUGCUUUCUGCCAGCACAUCCAUGAGGUAAUAGAGACCAGGCAGAAGGAAGCGCCAUACUUGCUCCCAGAAGACGUCUUUGUGGAGAGACCCAGGUUGUCCCAGAGCCUAGACCAAGUGGUGAUUGAGCUCCUCUUCCGUCAGAGUAAGAUCAGUGAAGUCCUGGGGGGCAGUGGCUACAAUUCUGAUAGGCUCUGCACACCUUACAUCCCUCAGCUGACAGAUGAAGAUCGCUUGUCCAAGAGGAAGAGCAUUGGUGAAACCAUUUCCCUUCAGGUGGAGGUAGAAUCAAGGAAUAGCCCAGAGAAGGAAGAGAGAGUGCCUGCUGAGGAGAUUACCUAUGAGACCCUAAAGAAGGCCAUUGUGGAUAGCGUGGCAGUGGAGGAACAAGAGCGUGAGCGGCGACGGCAGGUGGUUGAGAAGUUCCAGAAGGCACCUUUUGAGGAGAUUGCUGCCCAUUGUGGGGCCCGGGCAUCACUGCUGCAGAGCAAACUCAACCAGAUCUUUGAAAUCACCAUCCGACCUCCCCCAAGCCCAUCUGGUACCAUCACAGCAGCCUACGGCCAGCCACAGAACCAUUCGAUCCCCGUCUAUGAGAUGAAGUUCCCUGAUCUGUGUGUAUACUGAGUGCCAAGAGUCAGAGGUCCUAUGGAGGCUGGGUUUGGGGAAGGUGAUCCCCACCCCCAUCCCCUACAGCAUGGAAUCCUAAUGAGAUCUCAGGGGAGAAAUAUAACUUCCAAAGGUGGGCACCUUCCUAAGAAAGCAAGUUCCUUCAACCCUUCUCUUCCUUCUGCUCUAGCAUCCCAGCUUCACCACACUCUCUUUGAGGCCCUUUGUGCCAGUGGGAGUCCACCCCGCCCACUCUGCCUUGCCUUCUGUGUCAUCUGGGGUCCUUUAUGAGGAGAGAUUUGAAGGUUCUCUCCAAAUAAGGGUCAGAGAGCCUUGGGAAUCCUUUGGCUGAUGAGUUGGAGGAGUUUUUUUUCUUGGGAUGGAGCCUCUGAACCAUCCGUGGACAGGCUGUUGGGGCCCUGCCAAGGAUCUCAGUGGCUUUUGAGCCCAAUUUAACACCUCGGGUUGAACAGAAAAUGGAAAUAAGGAAGGGAGGCAUCCGACCUCUUGGGCAGCAUUGCCUAGAGAAAAGGGAAAGUGUUGGAGUCUCUCUCUAGGAAUUUUCCAGCUACAGAAUGGAAGUUUGAAUCCCCACCUAACAGAGCUGCUUCAGAAGGGGUGUCCACCAGUUGAGAUCUGCACUAUCGAGGAAAUACCCACCCUAACAGAAUCACAGAUCUUUGAUGCAUUGAUGCCCUGGACCAGCUAAAUCUCAGUUCUCUGUACUGCUUAUACACUAUGGAGAUAAAGACAUAGGACUUGGUCCUUGACCUCAAGGAGCUUGUAGUCUAGCUAGGUGAGGAAACAAGCCAAGACAUGAAGUGACUCUUGCCUAAGGUUAUAUGUAAUGGGAGUAAUAUCCUGACAUCUUCCCCUACACCAUGCAAGUAAGUGGAUGGAAGACAAUGCGUAAGAUGAAAAGGAAAGAGUGAGAAAGAGAGAGAUGGAGAGAGAGAGAGAAAAAGAAAAAUUAAAGAAAGAAGAGAAUGAAGGAAUGAAGAUAUGAAGGGAGGCAGGCAAACAGAUGGGAGUAUCUCUGUCAUAUUCCACUCUUUCAGUGGAUCCUGGGUGCUCUUCUUCAAGAACAUAUUAUGCAGACAAAGAGACAUUGUCUACAAAGCAAUUUAAGCUUGGAAGGAAAAGUCUCGAGAAAUGUAAACUGGUGUGGUUAUUCUCUCUGUCUCUAAAAGAUGAUGAAGUUCCUAUUUCUAAAGAAAUGGCUGUUCCUCACAACUUCUCAGUUCAAAACAUUUGCCUCAGAAAUCUAAGGUGUUUAAAAAUUUUAAAGACCAAGGACUGAUAUUGCCAAGUUUGACACACCAAAACUGACUCAUCUG